AUUGAACGCUGGCGGCAGGCCUAACACAUGCAAGUCGAACGAGUGGCGGACGGGUGAGUAAUGUCUGGGAAACUGCCCGAUGGAGGGGGAUAACUACUGGAAACGGUAGCUAAUACCGCAUACCAUCGGAUGUGCCCAGAUGGGAUUAGCUGGUUGGUGGGGUAACGGCUCACCAAGGCGACGAUCCCUAGCUGGUCUGAGAGGAUGACCAGCCACACUGGAACUGAGACACGGUCCAGACUCCUACGGGAGGCAGCAGUGGGGAAUAGUGCGCAAUGGGGGCAACCCUGACACAGCCAUGCCGCGUGAAUGAAGAAGGCCUUCGGGUUGUAAAGUACUUUCAGUAGCGAGGCGUUAACUACAGAAGAAGCACCGGCUAACUCCGUGCCAGCAGCCGCGGUAAUAC
rnacentral:rRNA from 1 species